UACGUAGGGUGCAAGCGUUUGUCCGGAAUUAUUGGGCGUAAAGAGCUUGUAGGCGGUUUGUCGCGUCUGCUGUGAAAAUCCGGGGCUCAACCCCGGCUUGCAGUGGGUACGGGCAGACUAGAGUGUGGUAGGGGAGACUGGAAUCCUGGUGUAGCGGUGAAAUGCGCGAUAUCAGGAGGAACACCGAUGGCGAAGGCGGGUCUCUGGGCCGGUAACUGACGCUGAGGAGCGAAAGCGUGGGGAGCGAACAGG
rnacentral:rRNA from 1 species